rnacentral:rRNA from 1 species
AGUGAAGCGGGAUGAGCUCAAAUUUAAAAUCUGGCUGGUUUACUAGUCCGAAUUGUAGUUUAAAGAAGCGUUUUCGGUGGCAGCCUGGGUAUAAAUCCUUUGGAAUAGGGUAUCAUAGAGGGUGAGAAUCCCGUCUUUGACUCAGUGCAUGCUACUAUGUGAUACGUUUUCAAAGAGUCGAGUUGUUUGGGAAUGCAGCUCAAAAUGGGUGGUAAAUUUCAUCUAAAGCUAAAUAUUGGCGAGAGACCGAUAGCGAACAAGUACCGUGAGGGAAAGAUGAAAAGAACUUUGAAAAGAGAGUUAAAUAGUGCGUGAAAUUGUUGAAAGGGAAACGUUUGACACCAGUCAUGCGGGUGGAAAAUCAGUCUUUUGGGGUAGGGAGUGGUGGGAGUUCAGACCGCAAGGCUGGCUUUUAUUUCAUCUCUGCCCUAAAGGAUGCACUUUUUCAUUUGCAGGUCAACAUCAGUUUCUUCUGCUGGACAAAACUCUGAGAGAAGGUAGCAGCUUUGGCUGUGUUAUAGCUCUGGAGCGAUACAGUGGAGGGGACUGAGGUUUUCGCAGUGUGUGCUCUCGGGCAAGGUUGACUGGGUGCUAUGUGAUCGUUCGGUGUACAAUGCAUGCAUUUUGCGCUGUGUCUUUUGCAUACUCGCCUGAAUCGACUCUUCCACGCUUAGGAUGUUGACUUAAUGGUUUUAAACGACCCGUCUUGAAACACGGACCAAGGAGUCUAACAUAUAUGCAAGUGUUUGGGUGGCAAACCCAUACGCGUAAUGAAAGUGAACGUAGGUGCGAUCCGCAAGGUGCAGCAUCGACCGAUCUUGAUAUUUUUGGAUAGAUUUGAGUAAGAGCAUAUAUGCUGGGACCCGAAAGAUGGUGAACUAUGCCUGAAUAGGGUGAAGCCAGAGGAAACUCUGGUGGAGGCUCGUAGCGAUUCUGACGUGCAAAUCGAUCGUCAAAUUUGGGUAUAGGGGCGAAAGAC